rnacentral:tRNA from 1 species
GCCGGGAUGGCAGAGCGGAUAACGCGCAGGCCUUGAGAGUCUGUGGGCCUUUGGCCCGCGUGGGUUCGAAUCCCACUCCCGGCGCCA